rnacentral:rRNA from 1 species
UGAGUGGCGGACGGGUGAGUAACGCGUGGGCAACCUGCCCUGUACAGGGGGACAACACUUAGAAAUAGGUGCUAAUACCGCAUAACGGGGGGAGCCGCAUGGCACCCCCCUGAAAACUCCGGUGGUACAGGAUGGGCCCGCGUCUGAUUAGCCAGUUGGCAGGGUAACGGCCUACCAAAGCGACGAUCAGUAGCCGGCCUGAGAGGGCGGACGGCCACACUGGGACUGAGACACGGCCCAGACUCCUACGGAAGGCAGCAG